AAGGAGAUCACUUGGAGUCCAGUUUUUGAUCUGUCACUCAGUUUGCCCUCUGCCCCACUGUGAACUGUGUCCUUGGAAGGAGAAGCUGAAAUUAGAAUUCAUUAAAGAAUUUGGAUGACACAGGAGCACCUGGGAACACUGCUUUGGAGACUGUGGUGUUAGACACUCAGCCCAAAGUGGCCACAUCUUAAUGUGGUAGGGAUGCAGGUGGUGCUGCUGUGUUGGGGCACCAUUGACCUAGCAUCAUGCUUUGUAGCUUUGGCCUAGCAGGGUAGCAUUAAGGUGCUGUAGUUUUGGCUAAGUGACUCUGAGGAGCACAGUGGGAGCCUGACACCAGCAACAACCAUAAGGCUCCUUCUAUAAGUCUUGGGAGCCCCAGCUUCAGUUAUUACUACAUGGCUACUGGGAGGCCUGAGCUCUUGGGCACACACAGGACAUCUCCAUGGCUCCUGGGAACAGUUGGGAAGACACCAAGGGGAAGUGAAGGGGCCACAAUAGUGUGUGAAGGAAAAAUCAGAGAAAUACUGUUCACUUUAAUGCGAUCUUCUUUUUACCUUUCAGACCAGGCUUGGGAAAACACAGGCAAUGCAUAAACAAGAUAGGUAUUGGAUGUGCAAAUAAUAUUUACUCAUAAUAGCAAUAUAGGUAGAUUAAAUUUUAUAUAUUAUAUAUUAACAUUAAUAUACACACAUAAGCAGUAUUAUAUAUAUUAUAACCAUCAGAUAUAUGCCUGUGUAUGUGUGUGUUGUGUGUAAACAUUUGCAUAAACAGAAAUCAAUUGGUGAUUGGAGUUUUUAUUGUCAUCGAUACUGAUCAUGUCGGUCACAUGCAGAAAAAUGUGAAAGCGGUAAAGGUCAUUAAAAAGCAACAAAUGGCCCAACCUAAUUUGAAUAUGGUCAGGCUAAUAUCAUAAAGCCCAUUGCACUUGUGGAGAGCAUAAAAAAUAGCACCAGAAGAUAUUGUAAGGCAGUCAGGUGUUUUUUUUUUAUUGUUGCUUUUUCUUUCCUUUUUUUUUUUUCAGUAAGAAAGGAUAGAAGAAAAAUAGUAAAAACUACAUUGGGUGCCAGGAUUUAUUGUGUUUAUUCAAAGUAAAGUUAACACUCUUAAUGGCUCUAACUGUUUCUCUGAGCCUGAAAAGAAAUAUAUGAUAACUUUUCACAGAUGAGAUGCCCAAAAGUAUUAUAUUGGUUCCUUAUUAAGAAGAAGUUAAUAGAACCUUUAAUAUCAAGAAUUACAGAAUAUCAUGAAUGGUAUUUCCAUAGUUAAUUCAGAAAAAUGUGGCCUUUUGUUUUGUUUUGUUUUGUUUUUCUGUUUCUUUCCUAGUUUCCAGGGAAAGAAGUAAGAGUUUUAAUUUUGAGGUGUGUUUUGGAGGGAGGAUAUUUGUCUGGCAGAGGGAAGACAACCCUGUCACUGUGUUUUGAAUUUGGGAGGUCAGUGUGUUUAUGUGAGUGUGUGGAUGUGUGUAACUAUUUGUGACUGUAGGGUAUUUGGAGAUUUUAUAUCAUAAAGGUAGAGGAGGAGAAUGGCUUGUGUGUGGUUUGAUCCCCAAGAGUGUGAAGAGGAAUGGAGGGCUGGAGAUUCUGAGGGUGACAGAGACAUGAGCCUUCUGGAGCAGGGCACCCAGAUGUGGCAGAGCCUCGUGUAGUGUGUUAGUUUUCUAUUGCUGCUUAGAAUAGAUUACCAUAAACUUAAUGACUUAAAGCAAUACAAAUUUGUUACCUUACAGUUCUUCUGUGUGCCAGAAGUCUAGCGGGCUCACCUGAGGCUCUCCAGGCUAAAAUCAAGGUGUUGGCAGGCCUGCUUUCCUUUCUGGAGGCUCUCAGGGAGAAUCUGUUUCCUUGUUCAUUCAUGUUGUUGGCAGAAUUCAGUUCCUUGUGGUUGUAGGACUGAGGUCCCCAAUUCCUUGUUGGCUGCCAUCUAAAGGCUGUUAGCUUUCAGAGGCUGCCUGCAUUCCUUGGCUCCUGGUUCUAUGCCUCCAUCUUCAAAGCCAGCAAUGGCAGGGUGAGUCCCUCUCAGGUUUUGAAUCUUUCCUGCCUCUUUUCCCACCUCACCUCUGACAAACUGUUCUGCCUUCGUCUUUCAUUUUUAAGGGCUCAUGUGAAUACAUUGGAGCUGCUGGGUAAUCCAGGAUAAUCUCCCUAUUUUAAGGUCUGCAACCUUAAUUUUAUCUGCAAAGACCCUUUUGCCAUAUAAUGUAACAUACACAGGAGUAACACCAGGGGGUAAAGAUCUUGGGAGUCAAAAUUUUGCCUGCCACACAUGGGAAUUACUAUUUGGGUUACUUUUUAGACCGAGGCCUUAAGAACCUCAGUGAUCAUCCCUUUGGCCAAACUUGGUACAGAGGGUACAAAGUUGUCAGUGGAGCUGGAGACUCUUGAAUAAAUCUCAAGGGCCUGGGAAGGAGUCACAGCAGUGGUGGCCUCAUAAGCCCCAGGAUUCUUCUGUGAUCCAAAGAUAGAGGAUUUGGAAAAAUGACUGGUAUUGGACUUCUGGCCAAACUUGGAGAGCUGGGGUAUGUAGCAGUUAUGAUGCUUUUAGCUACAAAUAACAAAAGCUUGGGUUCAGCUGGCUUAAUAAUAAUAACCUCUGUUAUUGUAGACAACACAAAGUACAAAGGUCUGGAGGAUGAAGAGUUGGUUAACCCUGUGGCUCAAAAAUGCCACCAGAGACCUAGAUUCUUCUCUCUUUCUUCUCUGCCAUCUUCAACUGACUGGUCUUGUCUUCAGGCUAUGGUCCCUUGUGGCUUUAAGUUGCUGCCUUGUUUUCACAUCUAGAGAUGCCUGUAUCCAAUGGAGAAGAGACCAUCUCAUUCUGUGUCUCCUUGAAAGACGGAAGGAAAUGUUUCCCAGAAGCUUUCUGCUUUCCUGUGUGUCUCAGGCCAGAAUUGUACCCCAUCCUCCUUCUGACAGGGUGCUCUGUUGGGACUACUCAGGAUUCACUCACCUGGGCUAGAGCUGGGGUGGCAAAUGAUGGACAUCUGAACAAAAAUCAGGGCUCAGCUAGGGAGAACAUUGGAAUGGAUGUUGUGCAGGCCACCAGUGGUGUCCCUGACAGGGAGAGGGUCAGAUAUAAUUUGAUUUGGGAAAAUGAAGAAAAAUAAAUGUGACAUUUAUUACAUUCUGUUUCCACACAGCAUCAAUGAUCACAUUAAUCUUACUGCCAUGAGCAGGGAGACCUGGUCAGAGAGUUUAAGAGACUUGCUCAGAGCUACACAGCAGGUAAAUGGAGGGUCAUGGCUUGGACCCAGGUUUUCUGACUUUUCCACUACCCUGAAAUUGUGUUGUAAUAAUUGAAUAGAUCCUUUUUUAAUACCAAAAUUAUACCAUAUUCUUCAACUAUGCAUUUUGAUUUCUGGCAAAAACAUGCCUAUUUCUAAACAACCUAUUAUAGUUUUGCCUAGGUCUUAAACAGAUAUCAAAUUAAUACAUUGGAAGGAGAUAAAUUUCUCCCUGCCUCAAACACUGUAUAUUCACAUUAGGAGAGAUGACUGCAGGAGAAGAGACAGUCAAGACAUUUGUGGAUCUUUAGUUUGGCAUACAGUGGGACAUUGAUUUAAACUUCUCAUUUUUUUUUCUCAAGAAAAAAAAUUUAACAAGAAGAGGCAAAACUACUAAAUUUAAAAUUGCAUUUAAAAAUGCCAUCCUCAAAUAAACAAAAACAAAGCUGUAGGCAAAUGGAUUUUCUAAACACUUUGCCUCAAAUCACAUCUAGCUGAGAAGAAAAUGGGAGAAGUUUUAGCAUAAAAUAUAAUUAUUUGGGAGCCAAUACGAUGCAGAAAACAAAGGUUAAGUAAGAAAGGACAUUCUGAGCCAGAAUAGUAAUAAGUAGAAGUAGCAAGUCAGUGUAUUUCAG
rnacentral:lncRNA from 1 species